rnacentral:tRNA from 1 species
GCGGACGUGGCGAAACUGGUAGACGCAAGGGACUUAAAAUCCCUCAACCUUUGGUUAUGCGGGUUCGAGCCCCGCCGUCCGCACCA